rnacentral:lncRNA from 1 species
CGCUCGUAGUGGAAGUUCAGAGUAGACCGCUCGUAGUAGAAGUUCGACGUAGAUCACUCGUAGUGGAAGUUCAGAGUAGACCACUCGUAGGAGAAGUUUGGAGUAGACCACUCGUAGUGGAAGUUCGGCUCUCGCAGGAGCUUGGUUGGGAUCCUGAAGGCAGUCGGCCACCGUAGAAACUUAGACGGAGUCUAAUUAUUGUAGAAAUCUUGCUGUCGGAGAAGCUCGAAUAUUGACGA